GAGUAACGCGUGGGUAACCUGCCUCAUACAGGGGGAUAACAGUUAGAAAUGACUGCUAAUACCGCAUAAGCGCGCAGUGCUGCAUGGCACAGUGUGAAAAACUCCGGUGGUAUGAGAUGGACCCGCGUCUGAUUAGCUAGUUGGUGGGGUAACGGCCUACCAAGGCGACGAUCAGUAGCCGGCCUGAGAGGGUGAACGGCCACAUUGGGACUGAGACACGGCCCAAACUCCUACGGGAGGCAGCAUG
rnacentral:rRNA from 1 species